rnacentral:rRNA from 1 species
ACGGGAGGCAGCAGUAGGGAAUCUUCCGCAAUGGACGAAAGUCUGACGGAGCAACGCCGCGUGAGUGAUGAAGGUUUUCGGAUCGUAAAGCUCUGUUGUUAGGGAAGAACAAGUGCCGUUCAAAUAGGGCGGCACCUUGACGGUACCUAACCAGAAAGCCACGGCUAACUACGUGCCAGCAGCCGCGGUAAUACGUAGGUGGCAAGCGUUGUCCGGAAUUAUUGGGCGUAAAGGGCUCGCAGGCGGUUUCUUAAGUCUGAUGUGAAAGCCCCCGGCUCAACCGGGGAGGGUCAUUGGAAACUGGGGAACUUGAGUGCAGAAGAGGAGAGUGGAAUUCCACGUGUAGCGGUGAAAUGCGUAGAGAUGUGGAGGAACACCAGUGGCGAGGCGACUCUCUGGUCUGUAACUGACGCUGAGGAGCGAAAGCGUGGGGAGCGAACAGGAUUAGAUACCCUGGUAGUCCACGCCGUAAACGAUAGUGCUAAGUGUUAGGGGGUUUCCGCCCCUUAGUGCUGCAGCUAACGCAUAAGCACUCCGCCUGGGGAGUACGGUCGCAAGACUGAAACUCAAAGGAAUUGACGGGGGCCCGCACAAGCGGUGGAGCAUGUGGUUUAAUUCGAAGCAACGCGAAGAACCUUACCAGGUCUUGACAUCCUCUGACAAUCCUAGAGAUAGGACGUCCCCUUCGGGGGCAGAGUGACAGGUGGUGCAUGGUUGUCGUCAGCUCGUGUCGUGAGAUGUUGGGUUAAGUCCCGCAACGAGCGCAACCCUUGAUCUUAGUUGCCAGCAUUCAGUUGGGCACUCUAAGGUGACUGCCGGUGACAAACCGGAGGAAGGUGGGGAUGACGUCAAAUCAUCAUGCCCCUUAUGACCUGGGCUACACACGUGCUACAAUGGACAGAACAAAGGGCAGCGAAACCGCGAGGUUAAGCCAAUCCCACAAAUCUGUUCUCAGUUCGGAUCGCAGUCUGCAACUC